rnacentral:tRNA from 1 species
UGCGGGGUGGAGCAGUUGGCAGCUCGUGAGUCUCAUAAGCUCAAGGUCGCAGGUUCAAGUCCUGUCCCCGCUA